GAUGAACGCUGGCGGCGUGCCUAAUACAUGCAAGUCGAGCGAACAGACGAGGAGCUUGCUCCUCUGACGUUAGCGGCGGACGGGUGAGUAACACGUGGAUAACCUACCUAUAAGACUGGGAUAACUUCGGGAAACCGGAGCUAAUACCGGAUAACAUGUUGAACCGCAUGGUUCAACAGUGAAAGACGGUUUUGCUGUCACUUAUAGAUGGAUCCGCGUCGCAUUAGCUAGUUGGUAAGGUAACGGCUUACCAAGGCAACGAUGCGUAGCCGACCUGAGAGGGUGAUCGGCUACACUGGAACUGAGACACGGUCCAGACUCCUACGGGAGGCAGCAGUAGGGAAUCUUCCGCAAUGGGCGAAAGCCUGACGGAGCAACGCCGCGUGAGUGAAGAAGGUCUUCGGAUCGUAAAACUCUGUUAUUAGGGAAGAACAAAUGUGUAAGUAACUAUGCACGUCUUGACGGUACCUAAUCAGAAAGCCACGGCUAACUACGUG
rnacentral:rRNA from 1 species